rnacentral:rRNA from 1 species
UACAGAGGGUGCAAGCGUUGCUCGGAAUCAUUGGGCGUAAAGGGCGUGUAGGUGGUUUCGUAAGUCUGGCGUGAAAUAUCUCGGCUUAACCGAGGCAGGUCGUCGGAUACUGCGGAACUAGAGGACGGUAGAGGCGUGUGGAAUUCCGGGUGUAGUGGUGAAAUGCGUAGAGAUCCGGAGGAACACCAGUGGCGAAGGCGACACGCUGGGCCGUACCUGACACUGCUGCGCGACAGCAUGGGGAGCAAACAGG